rnacentral:rRNA from 1 species
ACUCCUACGGGAGGCAGCAGUGGGGAAUAUUGCACAAUGGGGGGAAACCCUGAUGCAGCCAUGCCGCGUGUGUGAAGAAGGCCUUCGGUUGUAAAGCACUUUCUAGUAGGGAGGAAGGUAGUGUAGUUAACACCUGCAUUAUUUGUACGUUACCUACAGAAGAAGCACCGGCUAACUCCGUGCCAGCAGCCGCGGUAAGUACGGAGGGUGCGAGCGUUAAUACGGAAUUACGUGGGCGUAAAGCGCAUGCAGGCGGCCGUGUUAAGUCAGAUGUGAAACGCCCGGGGCGUUAACCUCGGAAUUGCAUUUGAAACUGGCAGGCUAGAGUCUUGUAGAGGGGUUAGAAUUUCGAGGUGUAGCGGUGAAAUGCGUAGAGAUCG